UACGUAGGGUGCAAGCGUUGUCCGGAAUUAUUGGGCGUAAAGAGCUCGUAGGCGGUUUGUUGCGUCGGCUGUGAAAUCCCGAGGCUCAACCUCGGGUCUGCAGUCGAUACGAGCAAACUAGAGUGUUGCAGGGGAGACUGGAAUUCCUGGUGUAGCGGUGAAAUGCGCAGAUAUCAGGAGGAACACCGGUGGCGAAGGCGGGUCCCUGGACAGUUCCUGACGCUGAGGCACGAAGGCCAGGGGAGCAAACGGG
rnacentral:rRNA from 1 species